rnacentral:rRNA from 1 species
GACGAACGCUGGCGGCGUGCUUAACACAUGCAAGUCGAACGGAAAGGCCCUGCUUGCAGGGUACUCGAGUGGCGAACGGGUGAGUAACACGUGGGUGAUCUGCCCUGCACUUCGGGAUAAGCCUGGGAAACUGGGUCUAACACCGGAUAGGAGCCAUUUUUAGUGUGAUGGGUGGAAAGUUUUUUCGGUGUAGGAUGAGCUCGCGGCCUAUCAGCUUGUUGGUGGGGUAAUGGCCUACCAAGGCGGCGACGGGUAGCCGGCCUGGGAGGGUGGACGGCCACAUUGGGACUGAGAUACGGCCCAGACUCCUACGGGAGGCAGCAGUGGGGAAUAUUGCACAAUGGGCGCAAGCCUGAUGCAGCGACGCCGCGUGGGGGAUGACGGCCUUCGGGUUGUAAACUCCUUUCGCUAGGGACGAAGCUUUUUGUGACGGUACCUAGAUAAGAAGCACCGGCUAACUACGUG